UUACACUGACGUUGAAACAGCGGUUCUCGUACGACCACCGAAGUUAAGCAACGUCAAGCUUUGUCAGUACUUAGAUGGGUGACCGCUUUGGAAUAACAGGUGCUGUAA